GAGGGUGUAGCUCAGUGGUAGUGUGUGCCUGGUGUGCACAGGUUCCUGAGUUCGAUCCCCAGCACCUCCA
rnacentral:tRNA from 1 species